UCUGCAGAGAGAGCGGUCAGCACAUGAGCUCUAUCAUCUCAGCCCAACAAGCCCCCAACCACCACCCAGGGAUGCUGACAGGAACUAUUCUCCCUCCCCAAGACCCAUCUAUGUCCUCAGUUCCCACCUCCAAGUACAGAUACUUAGAGGCCCUGUCCCCACUGCAGCUCACAGGGAAGCAGGAACCCUGACCCCUGAGUGCCAGGCAGGGGGCUCCCUUGGUUUCUGCCUCCCCUCCCUAAGGAAGCCCACCAAAUCUACCCAGGUGGCACAUCUAUGAGAGAAUGCCUGGCAUAAGAACCCACAAGCCGAAGUGCUGCCAGCCUGCUGAGAGGAAGGGACCUGCAGGCAGCAAACCCUGGGACCCGGAGACCCGGGCCUCCCUGCUAACCAGGUGGGAAAGAUGCCACACCACCCUUCACGCCGAGGUGCCGUCAGCAGGACCAGGGCAAGGCCCUCUCUCUGACCCUCCCAGCACCACCCAGGGCCCAGCCUCCACACCCAUGCUGCUCUCAGUCCAAGAGAAGGUAAGAAGAGAAGCUGACUGAGGGAUGUGGCUGACCGCAGACCAGAACAGGCCCAAGGAGGGCACCCAAGUUUGACCCACAGACCCCAGGCUCUAUCUCACUCACCCGAAAAGCACACCACGUGUCUGGACCGAUAUCACAUAGCCUCUCAGGAGCUGCCCUUCCUGAAUGUCCUGGAUGGAGUUAAUCUCGGGAUCUGUUAUUUUGCUUUUUGUCUUUGGGUUUGUCCUAAAGAAAUAAAAGGCUUAUGUACGUAUACCUCUAAACCCCUUUCCCCACUCUCGCCCCCAACUCACCUGCGAUUAUCAAACUUUGUAAGAGUACCACUCUGGACCUGUCGGUAGGCUACAACCUACAGAGCCCAGCCCCACCCUCUCUGAGGUCCAGUC